GGGGGUAGAUGCAUGGGAUUGGAUGGGAAAGAGUGUGUGGGUGGGAUUAUGUUCUGUGUAAGUUAGUGUGGGGGAGGUCUUACCUCAGUGCCACUUGGGAUUCGGGCCAGCAAACGGCUUCCCUCCCGCCCGCCUGCCCUAUUGGUAUAUUUCGUCACAGCUAGCCGGGGGUAUGUCCUUGCCAAUUGAGUUUGAGUGGUUACGUUUAAGUAUAUGGAAUGAGAUGAACAAGUUUUUAAGGUCUCAACCUCCCCU